CAAAACGAAAGUACAUUUCCCGCGGGCAAGCAUUCGACUAUUCGAUAAGUUCCACGCAAAUAGCAUGUGUACACUACACACAAGAGCCAGUGGACAAUAACACACUUCACUCAUGGGUUCACUGUCUAGUAGAAGUUCAAACUCAAGUAAAAACGAUUCUAAAAUCGGAGGCGACUGGAACUUCUUGAAGUAUAGAAUUUACUUCGAUCCCGAUGUAGAUGGAGUGAGGUUCGAUAAUAUUAAAGACGAGGACCUUAUGAGUAAAUUCACAUCUCUUUUAGGGACAAAUGAGAAGAUAAACGAGGUGGAGACAUAUAAACGCCUCUGGUAUGGCCAACUAAUGAGGUAUUUUAUCAUAAGUAUGUCGUAUUUCAAACCGACAAUUGGAAAUGGUCAAUUGAAAAGUAUACUGAUGGUAUUACGAUUCAGCGCGGCAAAUCCGUGAAAAACAAAUAUAGACAAAAAUCUCGGAACAUCCCGCGGAAACUUUUGGAAAGGGGAAACGGAGCUAUGGGUGUGUGUGAUCUGAUUGAAUGGCUGUAUAGCGAGAAUGAACUGCAAAGCAAGUUCCAAUUUGUAUAACGACAACUGCAUACACUUUGCUGAUCAUGUAUUUAAAAAUGUGACAAGUCCAGAGGCAUAUGCAUCCAUGAAACAACGGUUUAAUUUAGAUCUCAUUGAUACGGGAGCGUAUGAAAAAAAGUACAGACGCAUUACAGAAGAAGAACUAAUGGCUUAUGCAAGGGAAUGUGAAGCAAUGAGAGGAGUCGUUACAAUGAGUGCUAGCGUUAAAAUUGGGAUAUCUAAUUUACAAAUUGAACGCUUCGUGCAUGUUCUCGAAACCAACACUGGUUGGUGGUCCAUCGAAUUAUUCUCAGGCACGUCGCUUUGAUUCGGAAAAAUCUCUAAAAAACAAAUUGAUCGGGUUAAACCCUUGUGCAAAGUUUAACUACACCAGAGAAAAUGUCUUUAAUAAGAAAAUGUGUGAUGUCGUAGAAAUGAUAUGUAAAGAAGAUACUAUCAAAAAGCGAAUAUAACUCUAUCCCUGUUUUUGUACAGCCAAUCCUUUUUGUAUUGGAUAUUUUUGUCGUCUGUAUUUGACUACUAAGUAUUUGAACACAUGAAAUUUACAAAACCCCAUACAUCUUAACUUCUUCCUGCAUUGAACGACAAUGACCUGUUUUCUAAACUAUAUGUUGUCAUAUCUCUAACGCUUUUUAGCAAAGACGAGAUGAAUUUAAUACUUGGUUUGGUUUCAUUUCAUCGUGCCUCUGAAAUUAACGUGCCUUUAGCUUUAGUUUGUAUUCAACCCUAGACAAUAACAAUGGUGAUUUAAAAGGACAUAGAUACAUUCUUUUCUGGUGUACUUUGAUUUGAAUUGUGAAACAAUUCGGCUAUUAUGUUCUUCAAUUACUGUUUUGAGCUCCUAAAAAUGCCCUUUAACCCAAAAUGCUGGGAAUUGAAGGUUUCAAAGUGGUUACUCCGAUUUUAUUCAUUGUUUGU